AACGUAGGACGCAAGCGUUAUCCGGAAUUACUGGGCGUAAAGCGCGUGCAGGCGGUUUGACAAGUCAUGCGUGAAAGCUCCUGGCUAAACUGGGAGAGGUCGGAUGAGACUGUCAGGCUAGAGGGUGUUAGAGGCGUGUGGAAUUCUGCGUGUAGUGGUGAAAUGCGUAGAGAUGCAGAGGAACACCAGUGGCGAAGGCGGCACGCUGGGACACACCUGACGCUGAGACGCGAAAGCAUGGGUAGCGAAC
rnacentral:rRNA from 1 species